CCUGGACAGGCAGCAGCCACUCUGUCUUCUCAGGCCCUCAGCACUAAGCACAGUGCUGCACAGGGCAGCCCUCAGCUCCCCGACAGAACAGUGAGCCUGUUUUGUUUUCUUGGCUUUUCAUCCAAUUCAAAUCUCUCCUUUCUACAACUGACCGAUCCAGAAAUUGGUUGCCGAGCAAAAAGGAGAUGUGUACAGAAACAUCUACUUGGGAAUUCAGAGUGUGGAGAGCUGACCUCUGAGUGCUCAACCUUCAACUGCCAAGCAGAAAGCCCCCUCUGUCACAGGCCCACAGAUCUCUGCCGCCAUGGCACUCAAGCCCUGUCAGGUGGUGCGGUGUGGACAGCCGGCUGACGCUGUUUCAAAGAAGCCGACCAGGCAAGAAACGUCCUGUACUCCUGCCCCGGCUC